GCGAGGAUGGCGGAAUUGGUAGACGCGCUAGCUUCAGGUGUUAGUGUUCUUACGGACGUGGGGGUUCAAGUCCCCCUCUUCGCA
rnacentral:tRNA from 1 species